GACGAACGCUGGCGGCGUGCCUAAUACAUGCAAGUAGAACGCACAGUUUAUACCGUAGCUUGCUACACCAUAGACUGUGAGUUGCGAACGGGUGAGUAACGCGUAGGUAACCUGCCUGGUAGCGGGGGAUAACUAUUGGAAACGAUAGCUAAUACCGCAUAAUAUUAAUUAUUGCAUGAUAAUUAAUUGAAAGGUGCAAUUGCACCACUACCAGAUGGACCUGCGUUGUAUUAGCUAGUAGGUGAGGUAACGGCUCACCUAGGCGACGAUACAUAGCCGACCUGAGAGGGGGAUCGGCCACACUGGGACUGAGACACGGCCCAGACUCCUACGGGAGGCAGCAGUAGGGAAUCUUCGGCAAUGGACGAAAGUCUGACCGGGCAACGCCGCGUGAGUGAAGAAGGUUUUCGGAUCGUAAAGCUCUGUUGUAAGAGAAGAACGGGUGUGAGAGUGGAAAGUUCACACUGUGACGGUAUCUUACCAGAAAGGGACGGCUAACUACGUG
rnacentral:rRNA from 1 species